rnacentral:rRNA from 1 species
AGAUUGAACGCUGGCGGCGUGCCUAACACAUGCAAGUCGAGCGGUAACAGGUGUAGCAAUACAUGCUGACGAGCGGCGAACGGGUGAGUAAUGCUUUGGAAUCUUCCCAGUAGUGGGGAAUAACCAGUCGAAAGAUUGGCUAAUACCGCAUAAGCUCGAGAGAGGAAAGCCGAAAGGCGCUGAGAGAGGAGUCCGCGGCCGAUUAGCUAGUUGGUAGGGUAAUGGCCUACCAAGGCGACGAUCGGUA